UACGUAGGGUGCAAGCGUUAAUCGGAAUUACUGGGCGUAAAGCGUGCGCAGGCGGUUUGCUAAGACCGAUGUGAAAUCCCCGGGCUUAACCUGGGAACUGCAUUGGUGACUGGCGGGCUAGAGUAUGGCAGAGGGGGGUAGAAUUCCACGUGUAGCAGUGAAAUGCGUAGAGAUGUGGAGGAAUACCGAUGGCGAAGGCAGCCCCCUGGGCCAAUACUGACGCUCAUGCACGAAAGCGUGGGGAGCAAACAGG
rnacentral:rRNA from 1 species